CGCCAGAGAACUACUAGCCAGAGCUUAAAACUUAAAGGACUUGGCGGUGCUUUAUAUCCACCUAGGGGAGCCUGUCUCAUAACCGAUGAACCCCGAUACACCUUACCGUCACUUGCUAAUUCAGUCCAUAUACCACCAUCUUCAGCAAACCCCUAUAGGGCACAAAAGUGAGCUUAAUCAUAACCCAUGAAAAAGUUAGGCCGAGGUGUCGCCUACGUGACGGUCAAAGAUGGGCUACAUUUUCUAUUAUAGAACAGAUAAACGGAUACCACUCUGAAAUAGGUGGUUGAAGGCGGAUUUAGUAGUAAACUAAGAAUAGAGAGC
rnacentral:rRNA from 1 species